GGUUUUCUCAGCUGGUGGUUUGUUCCACCUUUUUCUGCCCAUCAUCUCCACAUCUCUGGAGGUUAUUUCCUGAUGAUCCUAGCAAGUGUAACUUCCUUUCAAAUCGAUGUCAUCCAUUAGAUCAUAGUGAGAUUAAAUCUUGGCCGAUUACACUCACCAUUUCAACUGCUAUUAUGUUAGUUAAUAAGGUCGCGUAAUUUGCUAACCAACCUCCCUCACUCCUUGAAACUGAUGUUUCUGUUUCAUAUUUAAGCUACGAUUCAAAGCAAUAUUUAGGGUUUCUGUAGUUCGUUCAAAACAGAGCCAAGACAUGAGGUAUUGAGGUCGUUCGAACUACAAACGAUACAGCCUGAUCUCUGUAAUCCCAGGUUCUGAAGACGGGGAGACUAAUUCUUUCUUGCAGUUCGGUCCCUCUACUUUUUGUUGAAAUUUCUAAUUUUCAACUUAAAAGUGCUCAACAGAUUGAAGCUUUUCAGAUUUUAUUGAGCACAAGAUGGGCCAUUUAGUUGACCUGACAUAUUAAAUGUUUCGUGGUGGAUUUUUGUCUGGCGGAUGCAGUUUUGAUGCCAGAUUGCGAGUUCCAUAGUAAUAAAAUAAAUGACACUUAGAACGAAAGUUAUCAAAGCCAUCUAUGGUUUAGAUAAUGUUGGUCCAGAAGUGGUGUGCAAAAAAGAGCAGAUAGGGUGUUGGAGGGACGUUACAACAAUUGACAGGGAGCUGGAGAAAAUCUGGUUAGUGGGGCAGAUAAAAUGGGUUUGGUGGGGGUAGAGUCAGAGAAUCAGGACUAUUCAGUGGCUCAGUUCAGGUCUAUAAUGGCAGAAAAGAUGGGGCAGAAGGUUGAAGAGGGGCGUAUUAGGUGGAAUGGAUGGGUCCCUAACAAGGUUCUUUAUAUUUUCUAGAAAUUAAGGCUGGGGUCUAUUCCUUCGAGCAUGGAGCUGGCUCGGAGUGUAGUAAAUGUUGGUGACACGUCUUGCAAAUUGUGUGGAUACGGGUCAGAGACCAUUGAUCACUUGGCUACGAAUUGUGUCACGGUGAAGGCGGUGUGGUGUCAUAUUUGUGUGUGGGCCAAAAUACCCAUCUUCUCGCAGGAGGUUUCGACCAAAGAGGUUAUGGACACGAUGCACAAGUGGAAAUGAUCGCCUAACUGGAAGAAGACUUUGAAUUUGGUUUUUCAUGCCACCUUUUGGAAUGUUUGGAAGGCGAGAAACAAGGCUGUGUUUGAAGGGAUCCCUUUCUUAGUUUCUAAAGUGGUUGAAGAUAUUAAGGAGGAAAGUUUUAAAGUUAUAUUGGGAGAGGUGGAGAGAUUUUAGUAUCGUGACGUUAUUGUGUAAGUUUGUUUUGUGUUUUGAGACUCCCAGCAGGAAGCUAACCUCUUGUACUAUUUUAUGGUUUAAAUAUAAUGGUUGAUGUUCGAAAAGAAAAAAAAA